rnacentral:misc_RNA from 1 species
AGAAACUCUCUCAGUUCAUAUGCCUCACCUCAAGAGCACGAUCUCAGUCAAGACUCGUCUCCAUUUUUGGAUGCCACGGGAAGUCUCCAUAAAGACACUUCUGCAGAUGAUAACUAUGAGUUUGACUCUUUGCAAGCAUUAGAGGCUGAUCUCAUUAACACCCUCCGCAGUUAUCCAUUAGCCAAACAGAGUGAGGAUCUCAAGAUGGCCAUUGAAAGUGGCUUAAACACUUCCGAGUUUUAUGAUAGUCUUUACCCUAAACCAAGUGUUGAAAGCCAGUACGACAAUUCUGAAGCCAGAUUUGAGAAAUUGCGCCAAGAGUUUCAACAGUUUCGACGAAAGCAGCAGGAAAUUUUUCAACAGACACGCUUAGCUAUGGAUAGUGACAUGUUGUAAUUAAUGUGCAUUCCACUUUAUUCAUGAUGUAAAUGUUAAAUCUUCAGAUAUUGAAUGCUAUGAAAUUGAGGUGUCAUUACAUUUUAGGAAAAUGUAUAUUGUUUGUUUUGUUUGCUUGAAAAGCUACAGUGUGAACAUGUAUUGAGAAAUUUCUAUGAUCUCGGCAACCUAUUGUCACAGAUUGAAUGGCAAUGCAUCAUAUUAUGGGUAUUUUUUAUUUGUUGCGUGUACAGUUAUAUUCCACACAGUUUGUUGUAUACAUUAGCACCUGUUUCUCUGUCCAUGACUGCUUUAUUUAGGGUCACUUGUUGAGGCUGUUUUGUUUUAUGUCGUUUUGGUUAAGUUUUUUUUCUUUGUCUGUUUAUACCAUUCUUGUUGUAACUGGUUCAUAGAACCUACAAGUUAUAUAAUUCCAAUAUAGUUGUAGUCAACUCUUAAACAUAUCAUAAUCUGAAAGACUGUAUAUAUAGUUUUUUAUGCAUGGUGAGCUCUUGUGGAAUGUAUUUUGAACAGAACAUACUUAUUUUGGGCGUAAUUUUUUUUUAAACUCUGAAUGAAAAGAAUGUUUUAAAAUAGCCGAAUAAGUAUGUUUUAUGAUGAAUUUAGUGCAAUAGUUUAUUUAGGAUUUUUUUUCGAAUAAUAUAUGUAUAUAUUUUAGUCAACCUUUUUUUGUUCAAAACUGAAGUACUGUAUUUAUCUCUUACACUUUUUCAGUAAAUUUAUGGCAAUUUUAUUUUAGUUGAUACCAAAUGCACUUGGCAGCAUUUCAAGAAAAUGUAUUUCAUUUAGUUUUUCAUAUCAUUAUGUAUUUUUAGCCAAUUGUUUUCUUGACUAUUUUAAAACAACUUUUUGAGUUUUCUCUUUACAUUUUAUUAGGAUAUACGUACCUGUUUGUUAUAUACAGUAUAUAUGAACACUGAUGGGUGUGAGUGCAUGUUUUUGUAUUUAUUGACUUUAAAUUUUGUAAGCAUUAAAUGUGUGCGAUUUACAAGAGCUGUCCUAAUAGCUUAAUAUAUACAAUAAUAAUUUAAAAAUACUUAAAAAUACAGAAUAAUAAAAUUUUGAAGAUCC